UACGAAGGGGGGCUAGCGUUGUUCGGAUUUACUGGGCGUAAAGCGCACGUAGGCGGGUCGUUAAGUCAGGGGUGAAAUCCCGGAGCUCAACUCCGGAACUGCCUUUGAUACUGGCGACCUAGAGUCCGGAAGAGGUGAGUGGAACUCCUAGUGUAGAGGUGGAAUUCGUAGAUAUUAGGAAGAACACCAGUGGCGAAGGCGGCUCACUGGUCCGGUACUGACGCUGAAGUGCGAAAGCGUGGGGGAGCAAACAGG
rnacentral:rRNA from 1 species